UUGGAGGGCAAGUCUGGUGCCAGCAGCCGCGGUAAUUCCAGCUCCAAUAGCGUAUAUUAAAGUUGCUGCAGUUAAAAAGCUCGUAGUUGAAUUUCGGGACCAUCAUGUCGGUCGUGCCUCGGUACGUACUGGCAUUGUUGGUUUCUCCCUUCUGACGAACCACGAUGUCAUUUAUUUGGUGUUGUGGGGAAUCAGGACUGUUACUUUGAAAAAAUUAGAGUGUUUAAAGCAGGCUCACGCUUGAAUACAUUAGCAUGGAAUAAUGAAAUAGGACGUUUGAUUCUAUUUUGUUGGUUUCUAGGAUCGACGUAAUGAUUAAUAGGGAUAGUUGGGGGCAUUAGUAUUCAAUUGUCAGAGGUGAAAUUCUUGGAUUUAUUGAAGACUAACUACUGCGAAAGCAUUUGCCAAGGAUGUUUUCAUUAAUCAAGAACGAAAGUUAGGGGAUCGAAGACGAUCAGAUACCGUCGUAGUCUUANCCAUAAACUAUGCCGACNAGGGAUCCGAUGAUGUUAAUUUUUUAAUGACUCAUUCGGCGCCUUACGGGAAAC
rnacentral:rRNA from 1 species